GACAGAGGAUGCAAGCGUUAUCCGGAAUGAUUGGGCGUAAAGCGUCUGUAGGUGGCUUUUCAAGUCCGCCGUCAAAUCCCAGGGCUCAACCCUGGACAGGCGGUGGAAACUACCAAGCUGGAGUACGGUAGGGGCAGAGGGAAUUUCCGGUGGAGCGGUGGAAAUGCAUUGAGAUCGGAAAGAACAACCACGGCGAAAGCACUCUGCUGGCCGACACUGACACUGAGAGACGAAAGCUAGGGAGCAAAUGGGAUUAGGAACUGACGAG
rnacentral:rRNA from 1 species